rnacentral:rRNA from 1 species
UACGUAGGGGGCAAGCGUUGUCCGGAUUUAUUGGGCGUAAAGAGCGUGUAGGCGGCCUGACAAGUCUGCUGUGAAAACUCGAGGCUCAACCUCGAGAUGUCGGCGGAAACUGUCUGGCUAGAGUCCGGAAGAGGAGAGUGGAAUUCCUGGUGUAGCGGUGAAAUGCGCAGAUAUCAGGAGGAACACCGGUGGCGAAGGCGGGUCUCUGGGCCGGAACUGACGCUGAGGAGCGAAAGCGUGGGGAGCGAACAGG